CACGUAGUUAGCCGGAGCUUAUUCUUCAGGUACCGUCUUUUUUCUUCCCUGACUAAAAUAGUUUACAAUCCGAAAACCUUCUUCCUAUACGCGGCGUCACUGCGUCAGAGUUUCCUCCAUUGCGCAAUAUUCCCGACUGCUGCCUCCCGUAGGAGUCUGGGCCGUAUCUCAGUCCCAAUGUGGCCGCAGAGCCUCUCAGCCCGGCUACUGAUCGUUGCCUUGGUAAGCCGUUACCUUACCAACUAGCUAAUCAGCCGCAAGCCCAUCUAUUAGUGGAUUUCUCCUUUUCUUGCUAUAUCAUGCGAUACUACAAGCUUAUGCGGUAUUAGCAAUGAUUUCUCACUGUUAUCCCCCUCUAAUAGGUAGGUUGCUUACGUGUUACUCACCAGUCCGCCACUAAAGCCAUUGUUACAAAACUUCUUUCAGAUAAAUCUUCAAUUCCGUUUUAUAACGUACUUCCGUUCGACUUGCAUGUCUUAUGUGCGCCGCCAGCGUUUAUCCUGAGCCAGGUA
rnacentral:rRNA from 1 species